UCCUAAGUCACCCAGCACUCUUAACAACCUAUCGGACUAAUCCGUGUAUUUGUCGAAGAAAGCGUAUUUAAAUAAGUUCAAGGUGCUCCCGGGGAUGGCUCCUGGGAUGCCCCCAGGACCGUGGAACCUGGCAUAGAACCUGGCCGAAGCUGUACACACCUGCUUUUUUGUUAAGUGUAUAGUAAUUGUACAUAUUUGUGGGAGUUCAAGCGCCCAGCCGGAUAGGACCACUUCAGACGCAUUUUCUUUUAUGGCUUCACCUCGAAUCAUUUAUAGGAAUCCAGCACGCAGCACCACUUCCUGUUUAGGAUAGGAACGGAUGUGGCAGUGUGCAUGCAAGAGUUUGUAAAGGGCAAAGUUCUCAGCACCGGUGGUGAGGCGCCGCUGCACGACCAUGGAGCCGUGUGGGAAGGCCCAGAUUCUGAUCUCUGUUCGAUCCUGACACGACCUGAGUGACCGUGACCCUAGCCGGCUGGGGAGAUGGGGUGAUCCGGGGGCCGAGCCCCUGCUGGGUGUACCUGCUUCUUUCUCUCAACAA